ensembl:snRNA U1 U1 spliceosomal RNA
AUACUUACCUGGAAGGGGAGAUACCAUGGUCACAAAGGUGGUUUUCCCAGGGCGAGGUUCAUCCAUUACACUCCGGGUAUGCUGACUCUUGCGAUUUCCCCAAAUGCGGGAAACUCGACUGCAUAAUUUGUGGUAGUGGGGGACUGUGUUCAUGCUCUUCUCUA